CCAGACUCCUACGGGAGGCAGCAGUGGGGAAUAUUGGGCAAUGGGCGCAAGCCUGACCCAGCAACGCCGCGUGAAGGAAGAAGGCUUUCGGGUUGUAAACUUCUUUUAAGAGGGAAGAGCAGAAGACGGUACCUCUUGAAUAAGCCACGGCUAACUACGUGCCAGCAGCCGCGGUAAUACGUAGGUGGCAAGCGUUGUCCGGAUUUACUGGGUGUAAAGGGCGUGCAGCCGGAGAGACAAGUCAGAUGUGAAGUCCACGGGCUCAACCCGUGAACUGCAUUUGAAACUGUUUCCCUUGAGUGUCGGAGAGGUAAUCGGAAUUCCUUGUGUAGCGGUGAAAUGCGUAGAUAUAAGGAAGAACACCAGUGGCGAAGGCGGAUUACUGGACUGUAACUGACGUUGAGGCUCGAAAGCGUGGGGAGCAAACAGGAUUAGAUACCCCUGUA
rnacentral:rRNA from 1 species